UUUUCUCCACCACAGCCUGGAUUUCUCCCCCGCCGCCAAACGAUGGAGGCUGAUCAAGCUCAGAGAUCCGAAGCGGUUAUCUGACUGCUAGGGUUCUGCUGCGAACCCGAUGACGGAGGUGAUUUUGGGGUUCUCUCCAACGGCCGAUAUACCCUUGCAUGCACCAUUUUUACUAGAUCGGUCAGAGCUUUGUAAUGGUCGACAAUUCUGCAAGCUUGAAGUGGUUUUCGACGGAGAUAAGUCCCACUGAUUUUGCUGGAGGAUAUCGUCUUGCUGUUCACGGAAAUGGAAGAUGGUAAUGAUUUGGAGCAUGUUACAAGGAGUCCUUCGUUCAGAGAGAAUGAAUUUGUUCAUGUUGAGUUAGUUGAUUCUGCUCAGAAAAACACACUUCAAUGUGAAGGAUAAGCUCGAGAAAUUGAUGGUUGCUGACAUUGAAUCUGGUAAGAGUAUUGAGAGUUAGGUUCGAACGAGCUCGGGCAUGUUUCUUUACAAAGCUCAGGUCUCUUAACAAAGCUCAGGUCAGUGGAGGCGUAUGAUCAGCUAUAUAUGAAGAAAGAUGUGUUGAAACCGAGUCAAAUACCAGAUUUGUUGAUGGCCCACAACUAUGGAUGUAAAGUGUUGUAGGCUGGAGGAAGGAACGAACCUUCCACUUUGGGACUACUCACUUAUGCCAUUAUAGGUGAUCCCAAUAGUUGUAGCACUAAGAGAUCUUACGCUCCUUGUCAUCUGUUGUGAUAUGUUUUAUAUUUGUAAUUAUGUUUAUCGUCAACAAACUACUGAUCGCUUGUCUAAUGUUUGAUGUAUAUUUGUCUUACAACAAAAAAAUUGACAUAACUGCAAAGGAGACAUGUAUGUGUGUAAACAAGACGAGUUGCUCGAAAGCUAUCUGAGAUUGACUCGAUAAAAACUCAAAUCGAGCAGAGCUCAAACUUGGCUUAUUAAUAAACGAGCCCGAACGCGAACUCCACAUAUAGAGCUCAAGCUAGCUCACAGCCUGAAUGAGUUUUUAAUUUAUAUAUAUUUUUUUACCUAAUAUGUUGACAAUGUGUUUAUAUAACCGUUGUUGUUUCUAUAGAAAAACAGUUUACGUAAGAAGUGUAAGGAGGCAUAGGAAUUGAUAUAUAGACACCAUGUUUUGGACU
rnacentral:lncRNA from 1 species